rnacentral:misc_RNA from 1 species
CUCCUCGUCAGCCUGCGCGAAGGCCUCACGGUGCGCGUCGACAAGGACCGUACCCACACCCCACCCCUUUCCCACACGCACAGUCGAACUCACGUGCACACACGCGAGCCACCUCCUCUCGGUGCACAGGUGCCUCUCGAACCCACCCCUCCCUCUUUUCUCCAAGUCACCUCUGUCUUCAUUCUUACUUCUCCUUUCCUCUGUGUGCGUGUGUGUGCAACGGAAGGGUCGAGCGUGGAAGAGGAAAAAGGCAACAGUGGCGCGUGUACCCUUUUUCACGGAAAAAAAACUUAUGUUUUGUUGUUGUUUGCCGGUGAUUUUGUGCGUAGUUGUGUGAACCGCGAAGUCGCUGCCAGCGAGCGAAUGGCGCCUUGCGCGCGCUGCACCAUACAGCAGCGGCCCUGUACGUUUCUCGCACUGCUUCUAGCCGCUAUAGUGGGCCUCCCCUCCUCUUCCUCGCCUUCACUGAUGCUACCGGGCGUCCUGCACGCCGCGGCGCUGCUGCCGUCGCGUGACCUCUUUCUUGGACGCGCUGGCAGCACCUACAACUACACCAUGUACUCCGGCAGCGCGGUGACGGGUGAGUCUCACUUUACCGGGCUCACCACGUACCCCUACGUCUUCUCCGCGGACAUGAACAGCGCCAUUGUAGCCAUGCUCAACGGGUUCCUCUCUUCUGCAAAGUCGAACGUGAGCGCGGUGGGCGGCGGCUUCCACGAGUGCAUCGACAAUAAGUUAGGUGCCGUGGACGGGACAACGUGCUUCAAGUCACUUUUGGCUGCUGCUCCCCCCGCGGACUGUCCAGCCGCGAACAAGCUCUGCUGCCCGCUCUUCUGGCGCGUCGGGAGCCAAGGCCUGCGUACCACCAUGGCCCAGGUCAUCCCGCAGACGCUCUUCUGGAACGGUGCGACGAGCGUAAACGGCUUCUACACAAAUUUCUCACGGUCGUACCUGGACGCCAACCGCAACUGCAGCAAGCCGCUCUUGCGCACCACCUCCCUCAUCAACCUCGCCAUGGACGCGUACGGCGAGUGGCGCUUCGUUGAUCUCGUGACCACCUACACGCUUCUCGAGACCGCCAUCAUCAACCGCAACGCGUCGAGCGCAACCCCCAUUUUCGGCGAAAACCCGCAGGACGCCAUCACGAGCACGACGAGGUCACAGCAGCCUUUCUACAAGAUCAUCACGGUCUACAUCGCCGGCGGCGUCGAUGUGCUGCUGCUGCUGCUGCUCUUUCUCUUCUUUGUUGUUGCAGGACCCUACAGCAUCGGUCGGCCAGCGAUGCGGGUGCGCGAGCUCCAGCUGCUUACUGUGGACCUCGUGUCGCAGUACCGCAGAAACAGUGCUUGUGCCUUUCUCGACGAGCUGAGCAGCUCAGAGGAGUGCAGCAGCUCGCGAAUGAGGUCACGAAGCAGAAGCAGCAGCGCCGGUAGCGGCAACGGCGAUGGCGGCGGCUAAAAUGGUAGCCGAGUCGACAAGAAGCGGCAGAGGUCCGUCUCUUUUCACGGGGCAGCGGCGGGCAAGUCAAAGAAUGAGUUGAAUGUCAGCAGGAACGGGGUUGCAGAUCUGCAGCCACUUGCGCCCCAGACGGGAUAGUAGCUGCAGGGGGUCUGUCGGCGAAUCUCCGCCUCGUCUAUGUCACAGGUCUAGUUUUCCAUGCACCAAACGAGGCCUUGGUCCACGUCGACCGUCACACACGGUGGCACCGCAUCGGCAGCGCCAGCAACCUGAAACAGAAAACCUCGAUCAACGUUGGACCUCUCGAAAGAAACAGGCAUGUGCGCUGCUAUUUCGCGUGCAUCUCUGCAUAGGUGUGUGUGUGUGUGUGUGGAGCAGUCGUGGAGGCGAAGGCAAACUCCCCGCCCCCUCCCCUCCUCGCUGUAUCCGUGUAAAUCUCCACGCUCUGUGACUCGUGGAGAUGUGCGCUUGAAUCUGUAACACCAAUGGUGGUUUUCUUUUCUAUACGCCCCUCAUCAUACAUGUAUGUCCUUCCCAUCGUCUCCUUAACCACCCACCCACCCACCCAUGCAUUCAAGAAGUUAUGUGUGAUCCAUGUUCUGAAAGGGGAUGGGCUUCCUGCAUGUGAUUGGAGUCUGUCAAGGCACGCCGCUCUUGCAUCUUCGGGUCAACACUAGCGCUUGUGUGUCUCUGCUGCCGCUGUUCUUUUUAUUAUUUGAAGGAUACCUAACUCCCCUCACCUCCCUUCUUUCUGUCCUCGCCAGUCACUGCCUAUGCGUUUCUCUGUGUGUGUGUGUGUGUGUGUGUGUUUACGUGUGCUUAGGUUUGAAUCGGAUUAUGGAUUUCGGUGUUCUUAGCUUGUACGACUACUUGCCCUACCCCCCCCCUUCCUCCCUCCCUCUCAUCUCCAAAUGCACGCACACGCUGGCACCUUCUGGACGAUGGCGUCGUUGGUUCCCUUUGUUAUUUUUUGUUUGCUUUUUCGCCUUCGCCUCAGCUGUUGGUGUCUCUUACGCGACAGGCACGCGUGCAAUAUGCUCGAUGUCGACACUCAUCUUUGUUGUUGCUGAUCAUUCCGAGUGCCUCUUGACUGCUCGACGCGUGUUUGGUUGCUGUCCCGUGUCGGCUGGUGAUGUCUCUCAUGUGCAUUACUGUAACUGGCGCGUCUUCGUUGUUUUCGUUCUUGUCUUCGUGGAAGCCAACACAUCCGCUCCUUCUCCUCUUCGUUUUUUCAACGGUUGAGGAUGUCGAAGUGGUGAACGCGAUGCAUGGAUGAGUGCGUGUGCAUGUGAGCCCGACACUUGGGCAAUAUCCAGGCAUCGCUGUUCCUUUCUCACAGGCAAAUCUUCUCUCUUUUGGGAGGUGUGGAUGUGCAAAUUGCUUUGAUGGAACGCGUGAAAUAGAGUUUGCUCUUGCGUGCUUUUUUGUGUGUGCGUGUGUGCGUCUGCUCGUUGCGGAUGCCAUCCGUGUGUGUAUGUGUG